rnacentral:rRNA from 1 species
UACGUAGGGUGCGAGCGUUGCCCGGAUUUAUUGGGCGUAAAGGGCGCGUAGGCGGCCACGCACGUCCGUUGUGAAAUCGCCCGGCUCAACUGGGCGGGGUCAGCGGAUACGGUGUGGCUCGAGCAAGCUAGGGGGCAAUGGAAUUCCCGGUGUAGUGGUGGAAUGCGUAGAUAUCAGGAGGAACACCGAUGGCGAAGGCAGGUCUCUGGGCCGAUACUGACGCUGAGGAGCGAAAGCGUGGGGAGCGAACAGG